rnacentral:rRNA from 1 species
AUUGAACGCUGGCGGCAGGCCUAACACAUGCAAGUCGAGCGGCAGCGGAAAGUAGCUUGCUACUUUGCCGGCGAGCGGCGGACGGGUGAGUAAUGUCUGGGAAACUGCCCGAUGGAGGGGGAUAACUACUGGAAACGGUGGCUAAUACCGCAUAACGUCUUCGGACCAAAGUGGGGGACCUACGGGCCUCACACCAUCGGAUGUGCCCAGAUGGGAUUAGCUAGUAGGUGGGGUAAUGGCUCACCUAGGCGACGAUCCCUAGCUGGUCUGAGAGGAUGACCAGCCACACUGGAACUGAGACACGGUCCAGACUCCUACGGGAGGCAGCAGUGGGGAAUAUUGCACAAUGGGCGCAAGCCUGAUGCAGCCAUGCCGCGUGUGUGAAGAAGGCCUUCGGGUUGUAAAGCACUUUCAGCGAGGAGGAAGGCUGUCGUGUUAAUAGCGCGACUGAUUGACGUUACUCGCAGAAGAAGCACCGGCUAACUCCGUGCCAGCAGCCGCAGUAA